UAACGUCCAGGUUUCUGAGCCAUAUAGUAGAAUUGGUUUGACUGUGGCUUUGAAGAUUUCAAGUUUGAAGUCUCUACUUAGAUUUGAUGACCACAUCUUAUGCAUGUCAUUACAGGCUGACCCGUAAUACAGACAUCGCAAAGCUGUGGCCCCUCAUUAGUAUGGAUACGUUUGUGUCUAGUCAAGUGACUAUUAACAGAGAAUGAUUUACCACGGAUAUCACAGCAAUAUACUUUUACCCCCAGUAUGAAUACGUUUGUGACUAGUCAGGUGACUAUUACAAGAGAAUGAUUUUCCACAGAUAUUACGAUGAGAUGGCUUCUUUCCUGCAUGAGUACGUUUGUGUUAAGUCAAUUACCCACUUUGGGAGAAUGUCUUACCUCAGAUCCCACAAAGAUAUGACUUCUCCCUGUGUGUGUAUGUUUGUGUUAAGUCAAGUUACCCACUUUGGGAGAUUGUCUUAACUCAGAUCCCACAAAGAUAUGACUUCUCCCUGUAUGUGUAUGUUUGAGCUGAGUCAAGUUACUCACUUUGGGAGAUCGUCUUUACU